GCCCUGGUAGCUCAGUCGGUAGAGCGCAUCCUUGGUAAGGAUGAGGUCGGCGGUUCGAGUCCGCUCUGGGGCUCCA
rnacentral:tRNA from 1 species